rnacentral:rRNA from 1 species
UACGUAGGGACCAAGCGUUGUCCGGAUUUAUUGGGCGUAAAGAGCUCGUAGGCGGCUCUCCACGUCGGAUGUGAAAGCUCAGGGCUCAACCCUGGGACGCCAUUCGAUACGGGAAGGCUAGAGGUAGGUAGGGGAAAGUGGAAUUCCUGGUGUAGCGGUGAAAUGCGCAGAUAUCAGGAGGAACACCAAUUGCGAAGGCAGCUCGCUGGGACGUAACUGACGCUGAGACGCGAAAGCGUGGGGAGCAAACAGG